CGAUUCUCCUGCCUCAGCCACCAUGAUUUAACACUGAGAAGUGGGCAGUCACAGAGAAAAAGUUUAGAAUAGUUCACCAGUGAAGUCAUCUCAACCAGCACAGGGCCUUGACUCCUAACAACAAUCACACGAACUUGGAAGAGGAGCCUUCCCCAACUGAACCUUCGCUUGAGACCUCGUCCUUGGCCAUCCUCUACAUCUGGAUUCAUGAUACAGAGAAACUUGAGUAAUGAUGACACUAGCAGUCCAGCCUGCAUGGAUGCUGACAUGGAUGCUGUCUCCCAUUCUUACCACUGGAUGGGAAGAAAUGCUAGAUGCAAUCCAGCCAGUCUGUACUCGACUGUCAGUUCCAUCUUCUCAACUCACAGUGUCUUCCAAAGUCCGUGCCACACCACAGCCUGGAACAUCUCCCAAGGUUUCAAAUAAUUCAUCAGUGAAUUCUUCUCAACCUGGUCAAUCAUGUGAACUUAGAAGAUGAUUCCUCCCCAGCUGAUCCUCAGGUGAGACAUCAGCCUUGGCCAUCAUCUACAUCUGGAUUCCUGACCCAGAGAAACUAUCCUUUGGCAUUUGAGAGUUGCUUUGUGUAUACGGUCCUUUAACGGAGCAAAUGGCCAGCCAGGAAACCAAAGUAUGGACAAGGGGAAAGAAGCGUCUGUGGAGGAAGUUUUACAAGCGCCCUCCUCAUCCAUUUGGGUGGU
rnacentral:lncRNA from 1 species